AUUUAGCAAGACCGCAAUCAACUACCUCCUUUUUUUCUCUAUUCUCAGAUUGAAUUGCUCACGUAGGUCUUAAAGCACCACCAGAAAUUACACAAAUGGGAGCAAACACAAUGUGGAAACAGAGAGCACGGGAGAUGACGCGCGUUGAUGACGGCGCAGAGAUACAAAUAUUCGUGCUUGAUGGAUGACCGCGUUGCAUCUGUAAAAUUGAAGGCGCGACGGCGUGAGCCGUGAACUCGCAAAGUCGCAAAGCUCCGCCUAAUGAGAUGUCGCUUAAAUGUGGGAUAAGUGUCCAAAGAGGAUGUUGACUUUCGAUUUUUUUCUUUAUUUUCAAUUUGACGUCUGUUUUUUUUUUCGGGUUUAGGGUAGCCUGGGGUUAAGUGGGCACGGCGGGUUAACUGAACACUCGACCUAGCUGCCACCUGGUGGGCAAACUCAAAACCAACUACGCGUCAAUUUCAUCAGUUUAUAGACCCUUACUAGUGUACCUUGCGCUGAGUUGAUAAUCUUUGUUUUUUUUGAAGUUAUGUUUACAAACGUGUUUCGUGGGGCGAAAAGUAAAUUCCCGGUGCUGUGAACUGAAGCCCAAAUGACAUAUCUAGCUUUUGAGGAAGGCUUUGUAUUUUAACAACUAAAAGGAGAAAAAGGACAACCAACCAUGGGACAUAUUCAGAAGUCAUUGAAAUAAGUUUUCCGUAUCUCUUAGUGAAAAUGUACAUAAUAUAAGUAUUAAGACAAACAAAAAAUCAUCCUCAGAUGUAUUUCUUUAAUUUUUAAGACUUUUCCACUUGUUCAUUUGACUUAAUAAAAGUUUCCUCUUUCAAAA